GAUGAACGCUAGCUACAGGCUUAACACAUGCAAGUCGAGGGGUAACGAGAGGAAAGCUUGCUCUCCUUGUCGACGACCGGCGCACGGGUGAGUAACGCGUAUCCAACCUGCCCCCAACUAAGGAAUAACCUUGCGAAAGUAAGACUAAUACCUUAUAAUUUCCUCAGAUGGCAUCUGACGAGGAAUAAAGAUUUAUCGGUUGUGGAUGGGGAUGCGUCUGAUUAGCUUGUUGGCGGGGUAACGGCCCACCAAGGCAACGAUCAGUAGGGGUUCUGAGAGGAAGGUCCCCCCCAUUGGAACUGAGACACGGUCCAAACUCCUACGGGAGGCAGCAGUGAGGAAUAUUGGUCAAUGGGCGGAAGCCUGAACCAGCCAAGUAGCGUGCAGGAUGACGGCCCUAUGGGUUGUAAACUGCUUUUAUACAGGAAUAAAGUUAGCCACGUGUGGUUAUUUGUAGGUACUGUAUGAAUAAGGACCGGCUAAUUCCGUGCCAGCCGCCGCGGUAA
rnacentral:rRNA from 1 species